AGUGAACGCUGGCGGUAGGCCUAACACAUGCAAGUCGAACGGCAGCACAGUAAGAGCUUGCUCUUACGGGUGGCGAGUGGCGGACGGGUGAGGAAUACAUCGGACUCUACUUUUUCGUGGGGGAUAACGUAGGGAAACUUACGCUAAUACAGCAUACGACCUACGGGUGAAAGCAGGGGAUCUUCGGACCUUGCGCGAUUGAAUGAGCCGAUGUCGGAUUAGCUAGUUGGCGGGGUAAAGGCCCACCAAGGCGACGAUCCGUAGCUGGUCUGAGAGGAUGAUCAGCCACACUGGAACUGAGACACGGUCCAGACUCCUACGGGAGGCAGCAGUGGGGAAUAUUGGACAAUGGGCGCAAGCCUGAUCCAGCCAUACCGCGUGGGUGAAGAAGGCCUUCGGGUUGUAAAGCCCUUUUGUUGGGAAAGAAAAGCAGCAGGUUAAUACCCCGCUGUUCUGACGGUACCCAAAGAAUAAGCACCGGCUAACUCCGUG
rnacentral:rRNA from 1 species